GGCCAGUGCCUGACAUGGAUGUCAACUGACAAGGUGUCAGUAUUUGACAAGUUCGGUUAUUACCCACUGCGUCAACAACUGCCCCCGCCCGGUGCGUGUGAUAAAGCUGCAAAAGGAGAGAUAUAGGAGAGAGUUGGGAAUGAGAACGGGCUGACUGAGUUGUUAUUGGUUGAACUAUUCCUUUAAGUAGCUGUCUUUGGUCCAUCCUCCUGUCAGUCUGACUGACCUAAUAGUGUUUUCCACGAUGUAUCAAAACCUCACUUAUCUACUCCUGUAUUAAGAAAUAUAGUACAGCAUGUUUGACAGUACCUUAAUGUAAUUUAAAAGGAAUACACACUCUACAGACAGCAAUGUCAGUUGGUCCAGCACCCUCAACCAUAGACUUUAUAAUAAAGAUGAAUGCCAUGACAGCUCCCAAAAUGUGAAGCCAAAACAUCUCAAUUGUCGCCUGGUAGCUGGCUGAAGUAUAGGUCAUAAACCCCGCCCCUUUUUUUUGAAAAAAAAAAAGCCACAUUUUUCCCAGCGAUUUUUUCUGUCAUUUUAGGUAGUGCUUAUCACACUGAUGUAUGUUCAAAUGUUCUUUUUCUGAUGAGUUUGGUUUUAAUCAGAUUUGAUGCUAUAAAAUGUGAACGUGCGUCAAGAUUGACAGCUGUGUGUGCCAACUAGUGCGCUCGCUAUCAAUGACCUGCUCGUAUUUGGCUGGAUGGACGUGAACCCGAUAACGCAGUCUCUGGCUCCAAAUUACAUCACCUGCGCAAGAGGACAGUGGCUGUAUCCGUAUUAUUUUGGCUUCAUUUUUGUACAACUGGAAGGGAAAGUGGGUCACACACACUCUGAGCGGUGCUCUAACCAUGGCUGGCUGAUUGAUCUGCAGGAACACCUUGAGGAAAGAAACAAAGAAUAUCUGACCAAAGUAGUUAUGUCACAACCACUGCCAUGGCCCCAUAUCAACUCGUUGGUUACAUCGUUGGCACACUCUGGUACACUUUGACCUCUCUGCUGACCUGAGCCUCAGAGGAGCUCUUUGGAUGUCAUCCUGUCAGCCUUCCUGCUGCUGGGCAUUCAAAGGAGGCCGUACAAGCCAGAGCACAGAAAGGUUUGCAUGACAAAAUUCAACUCAGAUUGCCUCAUUUGAGCUUGAUGGUGGUUAGUGACCAAAGAAACCACCAUUCAGCUGGCACUUAUUGCCUUAGAGCAAAAACAAUUACCUGUAAGAGCUCAACAAGCUGUUUGUUCUGUCGCUGAGUCCUCAUAAAGGGCAACAGAGAGUGAAACUCUCUUUAAACUGUAAUGAACCAUACUCUAAAUCAGUUUGUAUGUUCAAUAAAUUGAUU